rnacentral:rRNA from 1 species
AUUGAACGCUGGCGGCAGGCCUAACACAUGCAAGUCGAGCGCGCGGGGCACGGGGGUGUAUUGUGUGUGGAUCUGUGUGCUGGAGGGGGAUAUAAACUGUAAACGGUAGCUAAUACCGCACACGCGCAUAUGUACCCAUAUGGGAUGAGCUAGUAGGUGGGGUAACGGCUCACCCCGGCGACGAUCCCUAGCUGGUCUGAGAGGAUGAUCAGCCACACUGGAACUGAGACACGGUCCAGACUCCUACGGGAGGCAGCAGUGGGGAAUAUUGCACAAUGGGCGCAAGCCUGAUGCAGCCAUGCCGCGUGUGUGAAGAAGGCCUUAGGGUUGUAAAGUACUUUCAGCGGGGAGGCGUUACCGACAGAAGAAGCACCGGCUAACUCCGUGCCAGCAGCCGCGGUAAUAC